GGUCACUGGCAUUUGCCAGUUCGUUGUGCAUUGUGCCCUUAUUAGUGCGUUACAUUCAUUGACAGUAGGAAUGGCUACCACUGAAAAUAGUGUAGUGUUAAGCUAUCCUUGUCACAGUGUUUCUGUACCGCUUCAGCUUAGUCCUGUCUUAGUUUAUAGUUCUCAUAGUCAUCAGACCUCGCUUCACGUUUUUGGAUCCUGCCUUUGCUUACCAUUUCUGUACCUCUGCCUUUUUGAACUGCUUACACCGUGUAUGACCUCAGCUUUGAAUAAAACUACGCCUAACAUCAUGUCCUCGUCUUGGAGUCCUGUAUUUGGUUCCAGCCCCGCACCAGAGGUGAAUUGGUGGUACACUUUGCGUGGUGUUUAUUCAACCAGCUCUGUUUUGGGGGUUCCGUGAGGUGACCCAUAUAUAACAUGACAGCUCACAAGUAGAACCAACACUCACAAAAAAGCUCAUCAUUUGUCAUCUCACCACAUACGCGCACCAACGGAUGUGCAGGAGAACACCUCGCUGCUGGGUUCCUGUAUGCAAUUCAGCCUUUUCUCUAAUUAGAGCACGGUAACUUGUUUCUAAAGUCCUCCUCCCAUGCCUCGUGUUCCCCAAGAAACACCCAUAAAUAAAUUGAUGGGGAACAUCCACUUUUGAACUUGCUGGGCUUUGCAGUACAAGAAGACGAGUGCUGCGCUCACUGGAUCAUGUGGAACAGGACAUGACAGGAAGUUGUCUAAAAUGGGCAAAAGCUCCUUUUUUUUCUGCAGGAACAGCAAAAUAAAACUGAUCACAAAGAAAUGUUUUUAAGGUGAAAUAAAAUGUUGUCAGCAUGU